GUGAAGGUGAAGUCGUAACAAGGUUUCCGUAGGUGAACCUGCGGAAGGAUCAUUACCACACCUAAAAACUUUCCACGUGAACCGUAUCAAAACUUAGUUGGGGGUCUCUUUCGGCGGCGGCUGCUGGCUUCAUUGCUGGCGGCUGCUGUUGGGAGAGCUCUAUCAUGGCGAGCGUUUGGGCUUCGGUCUGAACUAGUAGCUUUUUUAAACCCAUUCUUUAUAACUGAUUAUACUGUAGGGACGAAAGUCUCUGCUUUUAACUAGAUAGCAACUUUCAGCAGUGGAUGUCUAGGCUCGCACAUCGAUGAAGAACGCUGCGAACUGCGAUACGUAAUGCGAAUUGCAGGAUUCAGUGAGUCAUCGAAAUUUUGAACGCAUAUUGCACUUCCGGGUUAGUCCUGGGAGUAUGCCUGUAUCAGUGUCCGUACAUCAAACUUGGUUUUCUUCCUUCCGUGUAGUCGGUGGUGGAUGUGCCAGAUGUGAAGUGUCUUGCGGCUGGUCUUCGGAUCGGCUGUGAGUCCUUUGAAAUGUACUGAACUGUACUUCUCUUUGCUCCAAAAGCGUGGCGUUGCUGAUUGUGGAGGCUGCUUGCGUAGCCAGUCUGGCGACCAGUUUGUCUUGCUGUGGCCGUUAAUGGAGGAAGUGUUCGAUUCGCGG
rnacentral:rRNA from 1 species